AGUAUAUAAUGUUGUAUAGUGUAUAGUAUAUAAUGUAGUACAGUGUAUAGUGUAGAGUAUAUAAUGUAGUAUAAUGUAUAGUGUAGAGUAUAGGACAGAUUCUGAUUGCACGCGCACUCCCUUUGUCAGAAAAAAGAAAAACCAAAUCAGCGGCUAGCUGUAGUAAAUCCAGACCAACCUGAUCUCUCUCUGCUGUUCUGGACCCGUCCCUAAGCACCUCGUUCUCCUUGCCCGCCGGAUUCAUGUCUCCUUCCUCGUGCUCGCUUCUCCUCCGGUUCCUGCGCGCGCUUUAAUAAAAAGUCGCGGUGCUCUGAGGAGAUGAUCUUCGAGAAGCCAUAGAUAACUUCUCUCUCUCCGUUUCUAAAUCUUUCUCCCUCCACCCUUACGUUAGAAGCUACAUGCACGAGCGCAUAACCCCACCCGCGCCGCUGCCGCUCGCGCGCGCGCUCACUUUUCCAACGCAAUUCCGUCGCAAAAACUUCCGCCAUUUCCCGGCGGGACAGGUGAGCUCGGCCACGCCCACUACAGAAGAGUCUAGCAAACCGUGCAGAAGUUGCUGGAAAUGUGAUGGAAGUUUACCGGAAUUUCUGUUUCAGACCUAAAGGUUUUAUU
ensembl:lncRNA